rnacentral:rRNA from 14 species
CAAGAGUUCACAUCGACGGCGGUGUUUGGCACCUCGAUGUCGGCUCAUCACAUCCUGGGGCUGUAGCCGGUCCCAAGGGUAUGGCUGUUCGCCAUUUAAAGAGGUACGUGAGCUGGGUUUAAAACGUCGUGAGACAGUUUGGUCCCUAUCUGCCGUGGGCGUUGGAAAUUUGAAGGGGGCUGCUCCUAGUACGAGAGGACCGGAGUGGACGAACCUCUGGUGUACCGGUUGUCACGCCAGUGGCAUUGCCGAGUAGCUAAGUGUGGAAGAGAUAA